ACCUGGUUGAUCUUGCCAGUAGUCAUAUGCUUGUCUCACAGAUUAAGCCAUGCAAGUGAAAGUACAUAUGUAAGUAAUAUAUUGAAACUGCGAACGGCUCAUUAAAACAGUUAUAAUCUACUUGAUGUUUUUAAUAUAAGGAUAACUACGGAAAAUCUGUAGCUAAUACUUGUGAAAAUACCUUUUGAUAUAUACAUAUGUAUGUAUCAUUAAGGUAUGUAUUUGUUAGAUAUAAGAAUAAAAUAAAUAUAAUUGAAUUAUAACAAAGAAGAAACACAUAAAAUAUGUGUAUUAUCAAUCGAGUAUCUGACCUAUCAGCUUUUGAUGUUAGGGUAUUGACCUAACAUGGCUAUGACGGGUAACGGGGAAUUAGAGUUCGAUUCCGGAGAGGGAGCCUGAGAAAUAGCUACCACAUCUAAGGAAGGCAGCAGGCGCGUAAAUUACCCAAUUCUAAAAAAGAGAGGUAGUGACAAGAAAUAACAAUACAAUAUCGAAAAAUGAUUUUGUAAUUGGAAUGAUAGGAAUUUACAAGGUUCCUAGAGAAACAAUUGGAGGGCAAGUCUGGUGCCAGCAGCCGCGGUAAUUCCAGCUCCAAUAGCAUAUAUUAAAAUUGUUGCAGUUAAAACGUUCGUAGUUGAAUAUUAAAGAAUCCGAUGUUUCAUUUAAACUGGUUUGGGAAAACCAAAUAUAUUAUAUAUUUUGCUUUGUUCAAAAUAAGGUUUUCUAAUAAAUUAUGUUUUUAUCAGAUAUGACAGAAUCUUUUUUAAAAUCUCUUCAAUAUGCUUUUAUUGCUUUUGAGAGGUUUUGUUACUUUGAGUAAAAUUAAGUGUUCAUAACAGACGGGUAGUCAUGAUUGAGUUCAUUGUGUUUGAAUACUACAGCAUGGAAUAACAAAUAUGAAUAAGCUAAUUAUUUUUUUUUUUUCAUAAUUUUUUUUGAUAUUCUUAUUAGCUUAGUUACGAUUAAUAGGAGUAGCUUUGGGGGCAUUCGUAUUCAGAUGUCAGAGGUGAAAUUCUAAGAUUUUCUGGAGACGGACUACUGCGAAAGCAUUUGCCUAAUCUAUUUCCAUUAAUCAAGAACGAAAGUUAAGGGAGUGAAGACGAUCAGAUACCGUCGUAAUCUUAACCAUAAACUAUACCGACUAGGUGUUGGAUGAAUAUAAAAAAUAUAUAAAUAUGUAGCAUUUCUUAGGGAAUGUUGAUUUUAUAUUAGAAUUGCUUCCUUCAGUACCUUAUGAGAAAUCAAAGUCUUUGGGUUCUGGGGCGAGUAUUCGCGCAAGCGAGAAAGUUAAAAGAAUUGACGGAAGGGCACCACCAGGCGUGGAGCUUGCGGCUUAAUUUGACUCAACACGGGAAAACUCACUAGUUUAAGACAAGAGUAGGAUUGACAGAUUAAUAGCUCUUUCUUGAUUUCUUGGAUGGUGAUGCAUGGCCGUUUUUAGUUCGUGAAUAUGAUUUGUCUGGUUAAUUCCGAUAACGAACGAGAUCUUAACCUGCUAAUUAGCGGUAAGUACACUAUAUUUUUAUUUGAAAUUGAAUAUAGGUAAUUAUACAUGUUUAUUCAGUGUUCAAAUUAGGAUAUUUUUUUAUUAAAAUAUUCUUUUCCCUGUUCUACUAUAAUAAUUUGUUUUUUUUUACUCUAUUUCUCUCUUCUUUUAAGAAUGUACUUGUUUGAUUAAAUAAAGCUUCUUAGAGGAACAGUGUGUAUCUAACACAAGGAAGUUUAAGGCAACAACAGGUCUGUGAUGUCCUUAGAUAAACUAGGCUGCACGCGUGCUACAAUGAUAUAUAUAACAAGUUGUUAAAAAUGUACUUAUAAAUAAGUGUGUACAGUUUUUCCUGUACUGAAAAGUAUAGGUAAUCUUUAUCAGUAUAUAUCGUAAUUGGGAUAGAUUAUUGCAAUUAUUAAUCUUGAACGAGGAAUGCCUAGUAAGCAUGAUUCAUUAGAUUGUGCUGACUACGUCCCUGCCCUUUGUACACACCGCCCGUCGCUCCUACCGAUUGAAAGAUAUGAUGAAUUGUUUGGAUAUGAAUUAAAAUAAUGAAAUUUUAUAUUUCUGAUUUUUUCUAGAAGAACUGUAAAUCCUAUCUUUUAAAGGAAGGAGAAGUCGUAACAAGGUUUCCGUAGGUGAACCUGCGGAAGGAUCAUUA
rnacentral:rRNA from 1 species